UGCAAGCUGCUCUGCACGCGUUUUACGC
rnacentral:piRNA from 1 species